UGCCCCAAAUAGACUGGAGCAGAGGAGGCGUCUCAAAAAAUAUGAAAAUAUUUAGGAUAUGAUCUACCUUUAUUCCAGAUCUGUCUGGAAUAAAGAUGUGCAUUUAAAGUUUAGAGUUGGGGUUUCCAUUUUAAAUCAGUUCAUGAGGAACUGUGUGUGUUCGGUUGAAGACUGAAGGAUGUGGACGCGUUAGCUUAGCUUCUUUUUAUGUUCCAUUUCACGCAAAGCCUUAUAAAAUAAUCAUAAGUGAUGAUAUGUGGGUACAGAGAGAAGCUCCGGCUCUCUGUGUAAAAGUUCAGAGUCUCAGCGGCAUGAAGCUGGAGGAGCAGAGCGUUCGAUCAUCUUCAUCCUGUCAGCGCAAAGACAAAGAGCUGCCUCCGAGCAAGAAGAGCUGGUCAUAGGGGCUCCUGCUGUCCUGUCACACCACACCGAGAUCAACCCGAGUCUCCUGCUGGGCAGCCAGGAGGUGCUGACUGGAGUUAGAGCCUUGGUUUUAGUUCAUGUUGCAUGAGAAUAGUUGCUGCUUUCCAGGUGAACAGAUUGUGUCUUUCCAGUCAAUGGGGG